CAUACCACUUGUUGCCUCGGCGGAUCAGCCCGCUCCCGGUAAAACGGGACGGCCCGCCAGAGGACCCCUAAACUCUGUUUCUAUAUGUAACUUCUGAGUAAAACCAUAAAUAAAUCAAAACUUUCAACAACGGAUCUCUUGGUUCUGGCAUCGAUGAAGAACGCAGCAAAAUGCGAUAAGUAAUGUGAAUUGCAGAAUUCAGUGAAUCAUCGAAUCUUUGAACGCACAUUGCGCCCGCCAGUAUUCUGGCGGGCAUGCCUGUUCGAGCGUCAUUUCAACCCUCAAGCACAGCUUGGUGUUGGGACUCGCGUUAAUUCGCGUUCCCCAAAUUGAUUGGCGGUCACGUCGAGCUUCCAUAGCGUAGUAGUAAAACCCUCGUUACUGGUAAUCGUCGCGGCCACGCCGUUAAACCCCAACUUCUGAAUGUUGACCUCGGAUCAGGUAGGAAUACCCGCUGAACUUAAGCAU
rnacentral:rRNA from 1 species